ACUCCUACGGGAGGCAGCAGUAGGAAUUUUCCGCAAUGGACGAAAGUCUGACGGAGCAAUGCCGCGUGAGUGAUGAAGGUUUUCGAAUCGUAAAGCUCUGUUGUAAGGGAAGAAUAGCAGUAGUAGGAAAUGACUACUGUGUGACGGUACCUUACCAGAAAGCCACGGCUAACUACGUGCCAGCAGCCGCGGUAAUACGUAGGUGGCAAGCGUUAUCCGGAAUUAUUGGGUUUAAAGGGUCCGUAGGUGGACGAUUAAGUCAGAGGUGAAAUCUUGCAGCUCAACUGUAAAAUUGCCUUUGAUACUGGUUGUCUUGAGUUAUUAUGAAGUGGUUAGAAUAUGUAGUGUAGCGGUGAAAUGCAUAGAUAUUACAUAGAAUACCAAUUGCGAAGGCAGAUCACUAAUAAUAUACUGACACUGAUGGACGAAAGCGUGGGUAGCGAACAGGAUUAGAUACCCUGGUAGGCUCUGCU
rnacentral:rRNA from 1 species